rnacentral:rRNA from 1 species
UAGGGAAUCUUCCACAAUGGACGAAAGUCUGAUGGAGCAACGCCGCGUGAGUGAAGAAGGGUUUCGGCUCGUAAAACUCUGUUGUUAAAGAAGAACAUAUCUGAGAGUAACUGUUUAGGUAUUGACGGUAUUUAACCAGAAAGCCACGGCUAACUACGUGCCAG